rnacentral:rRNA from 1 species
CUAUACAUGCAGUCGAACGAACUUCCGUUAAUUGAUUAUGACGUACUUGUACUGAUUGAGAUUUUAACACGAAGUGAGUGGCGAACGGGUGAGUAACACGUGGGUAACCUGCCCAGAAGUAGGGGAUAACACCUGGAAACAGAUGCUAAUACCGUAUAACAGAGAAAACCGCAUGGUUUUCUUUUAAAAGAUGGCUCUGCUAUCACUUCUGGAUGGACCCGCGGCGUAUUAGCUAGUUGGUGAGGUAAAGGCUCACCAAGGCAGUGAUACGUAGCCGACCUGAGAGGGUAAUCGGCCACAUUGGGACUGAGACACGGCCCAGACUCCUACGGGAGGCAGCAGUAGGGAAUCUUCCACAAUGGACGCAAGUCUGAUGGAGCAACGCCGCGUGAGUGAAGAAGGGUUUCGGCUCGUAAAGCUCUGUUGUUAAAGAAGAACGUGGGUAAGAGUAACUGUUUACCCAGUGACGGUAUUUAACCAGAAAGCCACGGCUAACUACGUGCCAGCAGCCGCGGUAAUACGUAGGUGGCAAGCGUUAUCCGGAUUUAUUGGGCGUAAAGCGAGCGCAGGCGGUCUUUUAAGUCUAAUGUGAAAGCCUUCGGCUCAACCGAAGAAGUGCAUUGGAAACUGGGAGACUUGAGUGCAGAAGAGGACAGUGGAACUCCAUGUGUAGCGGUGAAAUGCGUAGAUAUAUGGAAGAACACCAGUGGCGAAGGCGGCUGUCUGGUCUGCAACUGACGCUGAGGCUCGAAAGCAUGGGUAGCGAACAGGAUUAGAUACCCUGGUAGUCCAUGCCGUAAACGAUGAUUACUAAGUGUUGGAGGGUUUCCGCCCUUCAGUGCUGCAGCUAACGCAUUAAGUAAUCCGCCUGGGGAGUACGACCGCAAGGUUGAAACUCAAAAGAAUUGACGGGGGCCCGCACAAGCGGUGGAGCAUGUGGUUUAAUUCGAAGCUACGCGAAGAA